CAGCCGCCGCGGGAAAACGUAGGGUGCAAGCGUUAAUCGGAAUUACUGGGCGUAAAGCGUGCGCAGGCGGUUGUGUAAGACAGGUGUGAAAUCCCCGGGCUUAACCUGGGAACUGCGCUUGUGACUGCACAGCUAGAGUAUGGCAGAGGGGGGUGGAAUUCCACGUGUAGCAGUGAAAUGCGUAGAGAUGUGGAGGAAUACCGAUGGCGAAGGCAGCCCCCUGGGCCAAUACUGACGCUCAUGCACGAAAGCGUGGGGAGCAAACAGGAUUAGAUACCCCGGUAGUCCCUGUCUCUUAUAC
rnacentral:rRNA from 1 species